GGGCCAGUAUUUAGCAUUUGAAUACAUAGC
rnacentral:piRNA from 1 species